UACGUAGGGCGCAAGCGUUGUCCGGAAUUAUUGGGCGUAAAGAGCUCGUAGGCGGCUUGUCACGUCGGGUGUGAAAGCCCGGGGCUUAACCCCGGGUCUGCAUUCGAUACGGGCUGGCUGGAGUGUGGUAGGGGAGAUCGGAAUUCCUGGUGUAGCGGUGGAAUGCGCAGAUAUCAGGAGGAACACCGGUGGCGAAGGCGGGUCUCUGGGCAACAACUGACGCUGAGGAGCGAAAGCGUGGGGAGCGAACAGG
rnacentral:rRNA from 1 species